rnacentral:rRNA from 1 species
CCUACGGGUGGCAGCAGUGAGGAAUAUUGGUCAAUGGCCGGAAGGCUGAACCAGCCAUGCCGCGUGAAGGUCAGUGCCCUAUGGGCGUUAAACUUCUUUUGUGCGGGAGCAAUAAUGGUCACGUGUGGCCAGACGAGAGUACCGUACGAAUAAGCAUCGGCUAACUACGUGCAAGCAGCGGCGGUAAUACGGGGGAUGCAAGCGUUAUCCGGAUUUAUUGGGGUUAAAGGGUGCGUAGGCUGUGAGGUAAGUCAGCGGUGAAAUGCCCCCGCUCAACGGGGUGAAGUGCCAUUGAUACUGCCUUGCUGGAAUGCGGAUGCCGUGGGAGGAAUGUGUGGUGUAGCGGUGAAAUGCAUAGAUAUCACACAGAACACCGAUUGCGAAGGCAUCUCACGAAUCCGCGAUUGACGCUGAUGCACGAAAGCGUGGGUAUCAAACAGGAUUAGAUACCCUAGUAGUC